UGUUUCGGGCGCAAACAAAAAGGCAGUUCAACUUGCUCUCCCUCCACCAGCUGCUUUAACAAGCACUGCAAACUGUAAUUACCUUUUGCCAGUUGGACCAGUUGAGGAAACGGAUGGCUUCCCCUGGACCGGGGUGCCUGCCAGCCCCAGGGUUCUUGGGACUCUCUCUGAAUGUCUUGGUCUGGCUUCUAAUGCGCUUGACUUGUUAUGUGAAUUAAAGUCCAAUUAAAAUAAAAGUGGCCGAGGAAAGAAAAUGGAAGGGAAAGACGGGAGAACUACAUAGAGGAUACAGCCUGACUAAUGUAAAGAGGAACAUGGUCUAACUGGAACUUCAGAUGUCAGAAGGACCAGGAGCUACGGGGGAAGGCGAGGGUCGGGAGGAACGCCACAGAGACGCUCUGAAGUCACACGGAGGAGCUGUCACCAGCGUGAGCCACACGCAGGACCAGGCCGGAAUACGCAGGCCCAUGAAAUUAGAGACCAGCGUUCCCCCGAGCAGGGUGUGGUCAGCAGAGAACAGAGCAAGCCCUGAGGCUCUGCAGCAGUGGCCCCAGCAUCAUCGCCACCAUACCUCUGCCAGCCCUUAGUGUCCCACCUGGAGACGGACGUCCUCUUGGCCUCAACCAGAGCCAAGAAAACAGGGACCGGCUUUCAACUGAGCUGACAUCUGAGAAAAAGAAAGCCUUUCGUUUCUUUUGGGAGCCUCCACCCUCAAAGCUAAUCUAACUCCACCCGCAGAGAUGACUCCUGUGGCCGGCAGCUCGGCAGGACCCAGUCAAGAAUCCACAUCCUCUGAUCCCUCUGCCCGGUCCUUCUCCAAGUGCGCACGAGUCGGUCUUCCCCCAAAGAGAAUCUUUGCCCAAGGCAGUAAUGAGCAGUUUUGGCACUUGAGGCUCGGCAUGUGCAAUGGAACAACCAUGUACAGGACGGCGAGGGGAGAGUGGUCACUACAUAGACAAAGCCUCCUCUCUGCGCCCCGUGUCCACCGAGGCUGACACAGGGAUGCGGGUCACCUGGCCACCGCAGCCAGACAGCUGCCCUCAGGUGGGGAUGGGAGAGGCAAGGAGCAUGGGAAGGCAUUUCCUCCAGAGUCAUCAGCUUAAGGGAUGUCCCUGGCGGUCCGGUGGUUAAGACUCUGCGCUUCCUUUGCAGGGGGCACAGGUUCCAUCCCUGGUUGGGGAACUAGAUCCUACAUACCGCGCGGCCAAAAAAAUUAAAAAUUUUAAAAAUUUUAAAAAGUUACCAGCUUAGGGACCUCCUAGGUGGCGCAGUGGGUAAGACUCCUCCUGCCAAUGCAGGGGACACAGGUUCAACCCCUGCCCCAGGAAGAUACCACAUGCCGAGGAUCAACUAAGUCCGUGAACCACAACUGUUGAGCCCAUGUGCCACAACUACUGAAGCCCACGUGCCUAGAGCCCAUGCUCUGCAACAAGAGAAGCCACCGCAAUGAGAAGCUUGCGCACCACAGUAAAGAGUAGCCGCAACUCACCGCAACUAGAGAAAGCCUGUGUGCAGCAACAAAGACCCA